rnacentral:tRNA from 1 species
GGGGAUGUCACUCAGUGGGAGAGCACUUGCCUGGCAUGCACCAGGCCCUGGGCUCAAUCCCCAGCAUUACCC